rnacentral:rRNA from 1 species
CCUACGGGUGGCAGCAGUGAGGAAUAUUGGUCAAUGGACGAGAGUCUGAACCAGCCAAGUAGCGUGAAGGAUGACUGCCCUAUGGGUUGUAAACUUCUUUUAUAUGGGAAUAAAAUGUUCCACGUGUGGGAUUUUGUAUGUACCAUAUGAAUAAGGAUCGGCUAACUCCGUGCCAGCAGCCGCGGUAAUACGGAGGAUCCGAGCGUUAUCCGGAUUUAUUGGGUUUAAAGGGAGCGUAGGUGGAUGGUUAAGUCAGUUGUGAAAGUUUGCGGCUCAACCGUAAAAUUGCAGUUGAAACUGGCAGUCUUGAGUACAGUAGAGGUGGGCGGAAUUCGUGGUGUAGCGGUGAAAUGCUUAGAUAUCACGAAGAACUCCGAUUGCGAAGGCAGUUCACUGGACUGCAACUGACACUGAGGCUCGAAAGUGUGGGUAUCAAACAGGAUUAGAUACCCCUGUAAUC